rnacentral:rRNA from 1 species
CAGCCGCCGCGGUAAUACGAAGGGGGCUAGCGUUGUUCGGAAUCACUGGGCGUAAAGGGUGCGUAGGCGGGCGACUCAGUCAGGGGUGAAAUCCCGAGGCUCAACCUCGGAACUGCCUUUGAUACUGGUUGUCUUGAGUCCGGAAGAGGUGAGUGGAACUGCGAGUGUAGAGGUGAAAUUCGUAGAUAUUCGCAAGAACACCGGUGGCGAAGGCGGCUCACUGGUCCGGAACUGACGCUGAGGCACGACAGCGUGGGGAGCAAACAGGAUUAGAUACCCCCGUAGUCCCUGUCUCUUAUAA